AGCUUAGUGGCGAACGGGUGAGUAACACGUGAGCAAUCUGCCUUCGAGUGGGGGACAACAGUUGGAAACGACUGCUAAUACCGCAUAAGACCACAGCUCCACAUGAAGCAGCGGUCAAAGGAUUUAUUCGCUUGAAGAUGAGCUCGCGUCCGAUUAGAUAGUUGGUGAGGUAACGGCCCACCAAGUCAACGAUCGGUAGCCGGACUGAGAGGUUGAACGGCCACAUUGGGACUGAGACACAGCCCAGACUCCUACGGGAGGCAGCAGUGGGGAAUAUUGCACAAUGGGGGAAUCCCUGAUGCAGCGACGCCGCGUGAGCGAAGAAGAUCUUCGGACUGUAAAGCUCUGUCUUAGGGGACGAUAAUGACGGUACCCUAAGAGGAAGCCACGGCUAACUACGUGCCAGCAGCCGCGAUAAUACGUAGGUGGCAAGCGUUGUCCGGAAUUACUGGGUGUAAAGGGAGCGCAGGCGGGCAAGCAAGUUGGAAGUGAAACUCAUAGGCUCAACCUAUGACCUGCUUCCAAAACUGCAUGUCUUGAGUGGUGCAGAGGUAGGCGGAAUUCCCGGUGUAGCGGUGGAAUGCGUAGAUAUCGGGAGGAACACCAGUGGCGAAGGCGGCCUACUGGGCACUAACUGACGCUGAGGCUCGAAAGCAUGGGUAGCAAUCAGGAUUAGAUACCCUGGUAGUCCAUGCCGUAAACGAUGAUUACUAGGUGUAGGGCGUUACACACGCUCUGUGCCGCAGUUAACACAAUAAGUAAUCCACCUGGGGAGUACGACCGCAAGGUUGAA
rnacentral:rRNA from 1 species